ACGGAUAACAUACCGAAAGGUAUGCUAAUACGGGAUAACAUAUGACAGUCACAUGGCUUUCGUAUCAAAGCUCCGGCGGGACAGGAUGGACCCGCGCCUGAUUAGCUAUCUGGCAAGGGAACGGCUUACCAAGGCAACCAUCCGAAUCCGACCUGAGAGGGUGAUCGGCCACAUUGGAACUGAGACACGGUCCAAACUCAUACGGGAGGCAGCAGUGGGGAAUAUUGCACAAUGGGCGAAAGCCUGAUGCAGCAACGCCGCGUGAGCGAUGAAGGCCUUCGGGUCGUAAAGCUCUGUCCUCAAGGAAGAUAAUGACGGUACUUGAGGAGGAAGCCCCGGCUAACUACGUGCCAGCAGCCGCGGUAAUACGUAGGGGGCUAGCGUUAUCCGGAAUUACUGGGCGUAAAGGGUGCGUAGGCGGUCUUUCAAGCCAGAAGUGAAAGGCUACGGCUCAACCGUAGUAAGCUUUUGGAACUGUAGGACUUGAGUGCAGGAGAGGAGAGUGGAAUUCCUAGUGUAGCGGUGAAAUGCGUAGAUAUUAGGAGGAACACCAGUAGCGAAGGCGGCUCUCUGGACUGUAACUGACGCUGAGGCACGAAAGCGUGGGGAGCAAACAGGAUUAGAUACCCUGGUAGUCCAC
rnacentral:rRNA from 1 species